UCCCCUGAGGGAUGGCUCAGUUGGUAGAGCAUGAGACUCUUAAUCUCAGGUUUGUAGGUUCAAGCCCCAUGUUGGGUGAA